GACGAACGCUGGCGGCGUGCCUAAUACAUGCAAGUUGAGCGCUGAAGGUUGGUACUUGUACCAACUGGAUGAGCAGCGAACGGGUGAGUAACGCGUGGGGAAUCUGCCUUUGAGCGGGGGACAACAUUUGGAAACGAAUGCUAAUACCGCAUAAAAACUUUAAACACAAGUUUUAAGUUUGAAAGAUGCAAUUGCAUCACUCAAAGAUGAUCCCGCGUUGUAUUAGCUAGUUGGUGAGGUAAAGGCUCACCAAGGCGAUGAUACAUAGCCGACCUGAGAGGGUGAUCGGCCACAUUGGGACUGAGACACGGCCCAAACUCCUACGGGAGGCAGCAGUAGGGAAUCUUCGGCAAUGGACGAAAGUCUGACCGAGCAACGCCGCGUGAGUGAAGAAGGUUUUCGGAUCGUAAAACUCUGUUGGUAGAGAAGAACGUUGGUGAGAGUGGAAAGCGCAUCAAGUGACGGUAACUACCCAGAAAGGGACGGCUAACUACGU
rnacentral:rRNA from 1 species